rnacentral:rRNA from 1 species
UACGGAGGGGGCAAGCGUUGUUCGGAAUUACUGGGCGUAAAGCGCGCGUAGGCGGCGAUGCAAGUCAGAGGUGAAAUGCCCGGGCUCAACCUGGGAGGUGCCUUUGAUACUGUGUUGCUUGGAUCCAGGAGAGGUGAGCGGAAUUCCGAGUGUAGAGGUGAAAUUCGUAGAUAUUCGGAAGAACACCAGUGGCGAAGGCGGCUAACUGGCCCUUGAUUGACGCUGAGGCACGAAAGCGUGGGGAGCGAACAGGAUUAGAUACCCGCGUAGUCC